rnacentral:rRNA from 1 species
UCCUACGGGAGGCAGCAGUGAGGAAUCUUGCACAAUGGGCGAAAGCCUGAUGUAGCGACGCCGCGUGGAGGAUGAAUGCCGUAAGGUUGUAAACUCCUUUUGAGAGGGACGAAAACCCAUAUUUCGUAAGGGAUAUGGUUUGACUGUACCUCUAGAAGAAGCCCCGGCUAACUACGUGCCAGCAGCCGCGGUAAUACGUAGGGGGCAAGCGUUGUCCGGAUUUACUGGGUGUAAAGGGUGUGCAGACGGCUUACUAAGUCACUUGUUAAAUUCCUCGGCCUAACUGAGGAUCUGCAGGUGAUACUGGAAAGCUAGAGGGUGGAAGAGAGAAGUGGAAUUCUCGGAGUAGCGGUAAAAUGCGUAGAUCUCGAGAGGAACACCAAUGGCGAAGGCAGCUUCUUGGUCCAUUCCUGACGUUCAUACACGAAAGCGUGGGGAGCAAACAGGAUUAGAUACCCCAGUAGUCCAAGCCG